rnacentral:lncRNA from 1 species
AGAAAGCCUGAAUACAACUCAUGGAGAGGCUGAUAGAACCACAGUUCCUAAUGCAAUAAUACAAAAUCUCAAAGAGCAACUUGCAACAGUUUUUGCCAAUUACUCGUGGGCGUGCGUCAGACGAAGUCUUAAUCAGAGGGGCCUAGAUAGGAAGAAAAAACGCAAGUAAUCAGCAAUGCAAUUGUGAUUCUGUAAUAAUGAUAAUAUGUGAAAAAUUUCUUUUAUACA